CAAACAAACCGAGCGGCAUAGCUUAUAGCGCGCGCUCUCCGAUUCUUCUCUCACUAUGCAUUUCCUACCGGACGUUCCAAUACCGUAGUAUCGCAAAGUUUUUCGCAAAUCUGCUCUAUAACUCUAGUCUAGUGUUUGAUUUCGCUCGGAGAGACGCAGUGGUGAUGAUGCCGUCGAGUCGGGUAAUUGAGAGACCGUCUAGGCAUAGAGGCCCGUAUAAACGGUAUCUAACUAAAACCCAAGUUGAUCCGAUACCAAGAACCAGUCAUUCGUUGAAGAGAUUCAAAGACAACAUUGUUGAUGACCAACAAGACCAGUUACUGCUGCAGCAGGAUGAUGAGGAAAGAGGAAGAGGUGGAAGAGAUGCAGAAUGUGGUGAAGCAGACAUUGAGAGUGCCAUUCUAUCCGAUUGUAACUCAGUACUGGUCAAUGAUGAGCAUGGUACAGAAAAAUUUGAGGAAGAUAUAAUUAUGUCUGAUGACGAAGACUCAAUAUGGUUAAAUUGUGGACGCUAUGUAGAGCAUGGUACAGGACAGUUUGAGGGAGAUAUUAUGUCCGACGAUGAAGACUUGAACUCAAUAUUGUCAACUGACAGUUAUGAAGAUGAUGUCAAUGAUGAAGGUGCCGAUCCUAAUCAUCAUGGAGGUGUACCACCUGAGGACAAUGAGCCACUUAUUCCAGGAUCAGAUGUGACAAAAUCACAGAGUCUGCUCUUAUUGUUAGCAUUCUCUUUGAAACAUUGUUUGUCGAAGGAAUGCAUGAAAGACCUCCUCGAUUUGCUGAAUACAUUUUUUCCUGGUGUAUUUCCAGCAUCAAAUUAUUUAUUUUUUAAGAACUUUACAGAUUACAAGGAAGUUGUCAAGAUCCAUUUUUAUUGUAGACGCUGCUUGGCCUACAUACAAGAGAAAGACCACUGUGCUGGUAUUACCUCAUGCCCAGAUUGUGGUGAAAGCUUCAUGCCUGAUGUGAAAAAGGGACACUUUUUUCUUUCAUUGUCUAUUAAACAGCAGAUAAAGCAUAUACUUGAAGUAGAAUCUCUGGGUGAAAACCUUAUUGACAGAAAUUUAAUUGAGGGAGAUGAUUUAAAAGAUGUCACUUUUGGGCAACAGUACAGACAGCUAUGUCAAAAUGCAAGAUUUGGACCAAACGAUUUGACCAUUCAAUGGAACUGUGACGGAGCACCAGUCUUUAAGUCAAGUGACUAUGCUAUAUGGCCUCUACAUUGCCUAAUAAAUGAGUUGCCUGCAAAACUUAGAACACAACAUAGGUUCUUAGCAACUUUGUGGUUUGGCAACUUAAAGCCAAGAGCGGAUACCUAUUUAAAAGCAUUCGUUGAUGAAAUGGAACAUCUUGGAGUGGAGGGUUUCACUUGGAGCGAUGGUAAUAUAAUGAAACGUUCCAGAGUGGUUACAGCUGUUUGCAUUGCAGAUACAAUUUGUAGACCAAUCAUAAGAAAUUGUGUACAAUUCAACGGAGAGUAUGGUUGUGAUUGGUGUUACCACCCAGGCUCUGUGACAAAAAGAGGGAGAGGGCAUACACGAGCAUACCAACAAGAAGUCCACGAGAUGAGAGACGCUGUUACUCAUCAAGAACAUUCUUUUCAGGCACUAGAUCGCAAUGAAAGGGUAUUUGGAGUAAAUGGACCCUCGCCGUUGAUGUUACUGCCAAAAUUUGACAUUAUUCUAGGAUUUGCACCAGACUACAUGCAUGCAGUUCUGCUAGGUGUGUAUAAACAGUUUGUGCAGUUGUGGAUGUCAUCAAAUAAUCAUCAAUCACCAUGGUACAUAGGAAAGAGCCUUGGGGUACUUGAUAGGCGUUUGUUAUCUAUCUGUCCACCAUCUGAAAUAACUAGACGCCCACGAUCAUUGCGGAUGCGGAAAUUUUACAAGGCCAAUGAAUGGAGAUCUUUUCUAUUGUAUUAUUCAAGUGUUAUCCUUGAAGGGGUACUGCCUACACAGUACAAACGGCACUGGGAUCUGCUUGUUGCUGCCAUGCACAGCCUUCUGCAAGAUAAUAUUAAAUAUGAAGAAAUAGAUAGGGCUGAGGCACAAAUCCAGCAGUUUACUAGAAAGGCAGUAGUGCUUUAUGGUCUAGAACACAUGACCUUCAACGUACAUCAAUUGGAGCACCUACCUGGUUGUGUGCGAAGAUGGGGACCGCUGUGGGCAACAUCCGGCUUUGUGUUUGAAGCACAAAAUGGUGUUCUCUUGAAGUUUUACAAAGGUACCCAAUAUGUUCCCCAGCAAAUAUAUGAUCAUUAUGUGUUGAAACAGAGUUUAAGGGAUGCAGAAUCAAAGAAAACAAUGCUAGGGGCAUCGCAGUCAGUUGAAAUGAUGUUUUCAAAGCUUACUACAAAUAAAAAGUUCCCUAGAGGUCAUGUGCACAUUACAAAGGAUGUUGUUGUCUGUGGUGUGGCGAAGUACAGGGAGCUUAGGCCAUCUGAGCAAUUAGCAAUUGAAACUCACCUAGGUAAAAUGGUAGGCAGAAAGAGAGUUCAGCUUUACAACAGGUUCAUUGUGAAUAACACUAUGUAUCAUUCCACAAGCUACAGUAGGGCAACAAAAUCCAUCAAUACUACAUUCCAAGAGAAAACCGGCACAUUAUGGGAGAUUAACUGUCUUGUGGCAUGGAAAGACUGUGAACAUGUUGGGUUCUGCAAUUGUCUGCAAAACAUAGUUGUUCUCGCAAAACAGUUGAAGCCGCUGUCAUCAUCAAACAGAAUCCAGGAGCGGUAUAUCAAGCUUGUAAAAAAACAUUUCAUCAGGGCUUUCGAUGCAAAGGACAUAAUCAGAAAGGCGGUCCAAAUGAAUGUGGCGGGGAAAAUGUAUGUAGCACCCUUGCCAAAUAAACUUGAAUGCGAUUAAAAAUAUUACAACGGAGGACAGGGCAAUUUUUGUUAUUCAACCUUCACCAGCAAGAGCAUUUCAACCUGUGUCAUCCGGACUUACCAAGCUUUCUGGGGUGUGACCAAGUCAAUACCAAUGUCCUCAAUGAGCAGAAGGUUUUCACCAGACACAGCAGGAAACAAAUCUUGAACAGAUAAGUACUUGAUGAUAUUUGUAAAUUUGACAAAUUGUGGCAAAGACAAACCAAACCAGUCACUCGUCACAAAUCCCGUUUCAGAUAUAAUUGCCAAAACAUGCUGGAAUGUCAAAAUUUAUGAAAUCUAUUUUAUCAUAUUAAACUAACCUUUAUGUUGAUUUGGUGAUGGUUUCUGCCAGAGAAAAAAAUCAUUACCUUUGUGGGCUGUUUUUUCAUAUAUUGUUCUUUUAACAGCUGUAUGUUAAACUCCUGUUACUUCAUAACGAAAUGUAGGAUUUAAAUUAUUCUUUUACCACUUUAUAGUGCUCAUUUUACUGUUUAACCCUGUAUUUGUGACGAGUGACUUGUUUGGCUUGUCUUUUCCACGAUUAGUACAUAAAGGUUUUGGGAGUGCACCUCAAUAAUCAAAUAUUCACUCAUGUUUUAAUAGGUGGUAAGGUGGCUGCUGGGUUCCGUUGAAUCCGCCACUGUGGAGAAUAUUUUGGAGAACAAGUUUGACUAUUGUACAGACUUGGUUAACGCUGACUGGCCAAAUAUAAAUGUAAAAAAGAAGCUUGUGUAUGUCAUCACCCACUCGUAAAGAUGCUCAAACAAACUCAAAUAGCAAAGUAGCAACAAUCAUUUUAAGCAUUUUGUUUAUUAACUGGUUCGUUUUGUUAAUGUGAGGUAUAUUCCUGUCUAAUUCGAUCAUCAUUUUAAGCCCUUGGAGGGAUUGGCGACAGUGCAUCCAUGAGAGUUCAUUCUAGGUAUUGAGUUAACAAUAAUUUUUAGAAUAGCUGUGCCUGGGUGUAUCUCUUAAGUUGAGUCCUUUAUAGGACUGGCCGAUAUGCACUAUACCAAAGCUCAUUUUUUAAUGCAUUAUCACGAAGCUAGGGCUUAUUUUGUAUUUUUUUCUAAUACUAUUACACCCCACAAGUGAUUAUAGGCUAUACGAUAGACUUUUGUUUGUAGCAACAAGCGACUGAGCAUGACAGCGGUCUACUAGUAAACAAUAAAAUCAGUUUUAUUGGAAAAUUAAUUUGUGUACAGUG
rnacentral:misc_RNA from 1 species